CGGGUGGCUAGGCCGGGCGGCUGGGCCUCGCCUGUAACGGCAAACGGUCCACAAUGGCCGGGCCGAAGCUCGAGGGCGGUGUGCGUUGUCGAAUUGCUCCAACUACUCGACAAUGAACUCUCGCCCCCAUGGAUCUAGCUAUCUCCGAAUCCCCCAGGGCAGGAAUGCAGCAAGGGUAAGGAGGUAGCUGGGUGCUGUGGGAUUACGGGAGCAAGAAGAGAAGCUGGGUUAAGCAAUUCGGCAACGUACAUCCACCGAGAGCGUGCCACCCG
rnacentral:SRP_RNA from 1 species